ACGGCCCUUUGUGCGGCGUCUCCGCGGCGGGAGCGCCCGGCGGGGCCGCUGGGCCGGUGUCGGAUGGGACAGAUCGGGCCAAGGGCCAGCCUGCCGCGGCGGGGGGGCCUCGGGGGGACCGAUGUUCGGCACCAGCGCUCAUUUGCGAAGAGACGUGAACGAGGAAUUAGAUUUGUGCAGGUUCGCGAACGUGAAGCACGCGUGAAUCCUGACGUUCAACCUGCCCUGCGGCCGGAGGUGAUGUCCAGGCACCCGCCCUCGUGAGGGGAACCGCCACUGGCACAGGCUGAAGGAGGAGCUGCCACACACCCCACGCUGGAGAAGCAGGCGUCACCUCUUGGCACUGCCAUUGUGCCUGGAGCUAUCUUGCGGUGGCUGCUUACAUCAGCUCUCUGGGUGUGCAGAAGGGGAUCCUACCCACUUUGUCUCUGUAACCACCACCAGGCACAGCGGCCCUGAAAUAAACACAUACUCCAAGGA